UGNUGNNNNUUNNNUGNNNUGGCGGUAUCUUAUCCUUAUAGAGGAACUUGCCCAGUGAUCGAUAGUCCCCGUUUUAUCUUACUUCUAUUAAUGUUUGUAUACCGUUGUUGUUAGAUCACCUUGCAUAGUUAGUUAGUUUUCUUAAUAGAUCCAGCUUUGCUAGAUCUUUUACUUCAAAUCAAGGUGCAGUUUAUGUAGGAGUUGAGUUGAGUUACCUUGUUUAAGAAACUGGAGAGUAAUAUGAAAUUUUACUUGAAAUAGGAUUUAUUAGUAAGUUAAUAAUAAUUAGAUUAGCUGAAAAGGGGUCUGAGAUAUGUACAAAUCGCCCGUCACUCUGGUUUCUGACAUCAGAUAAGUCGUAACAAAGUAGGAUGAACGGAACUNGCUCCGCC
rnacentral:rRNA from 1 species